UACGGGGGGAGCAAGCGUUGUUCGGAUUUACUGGGCGUAAAGGGCGCGUAGGUGGUUGAUCAAGUCUGGGGUGAAAUCUUUCGGCUUAACCGGAAAAGUGCCUUGGAUACUGAUCAGCUGGAGGGAGGUAGGGGCAGUUGGAACUUCCAGGUGGAGCGGUGAAAUGCGUUGAUAUUGGAAGGAACGCCGGUGGCGAAAGCGAGCUGCUGGACCUCUUCUGACACUGAGGCGCGAAAGCUGAGGGGCAGCAAAGCGGGAGU
rnacentral:rRNA from 1 species